rnacentral:rRNA from 1 species
GACGAACGCUGGCGGCGUGCUUAACACGUGCAAGUCGAACGGAAAGGCCCUUCGGGGUACUCGAGUGGCGAACGGGUGAGUAACACGUGGGUGAUCUGCCCUGCACUUUGGGAUAAGCCUGGGAAACUGGGUCUAAUACCGAAUAGGACCGCAUGCUUCAUGGUGUGUGGUGGAAAGCUUUUGCGGUGUGGGAUGGGCCCGCGGCCUAGCAGCUUGUUGGUGGGGUAAUGGCCUACCAAGGCGACGACGGGUAGCCGGCCUGAGAGGGUGACCGGCCACACUGGGACUGAGAUACGGCCCAGACUCCUACGGGAGGCAGCAGUGGGGAAUAUUGCACAAUGGGCGCAAGCCUGAUGCAGCGACGCCGCGUGAGGGAUGACGGCCCUCGGGUUGUAAACCUCUUUCAGCAGGGACGAAGCGCAAGUGACGGUACCUGCAGAAGAAGGACCGGCCAACUACGUGCCAGCCGCCGCGGUAA